UUGUUGGCUCUCACACUUGGAUUUAAGCGAAAGUCUAGCUUAAGCUGAGCUCACUAGUAGGAUUUAGAUUGAAAAAGCUAUAUAGGGGAUUAGCUCUCAUGUUUAUGCAUUAAUGUGAUAUUUUGAGUACGUGAAUAGCUCCAAAUUAUCUUCUCUUGCGAAUGUUGAGUGAAUUGCUUGUUAUAUGUGUUAGAUGUUCAUUUCAUGGUAAAAUUGUAUUAGUUUUAGGUAGUUGUAGAAAUUAUAUCUGUAAUCAACAUCUAAACUCACUG
rnacentral:misc_RNA from 1 species